rnacentral:rRNA from 1 species
CCUACGGGAGGCAGCAGUGGGGAAUAUUGCACAAUGGGGGAAACCCUGAUGCAGCGACGCCGCGUGAGUGAAGAAGUAUUUCGGUACGUAAAGCUCUAUCAGCAGGGAAGAAAAAAAGUCCUUUGGACUUUGGACGGUACCUGACUAAGAAGCCCCGGCUAACUACGUGCCAGCAGCCGCGGUAAUACGUAGGGGGCAAGCGUUAUCCGGAUUUACUGGGUGUAAAGGGAGCGUAGACGGCAGCGCAAGUCUGGAGUGAAAUGCCGGGGCCCAACCCCGGAACGGCUUUGGAAACUGUGCAGCUGGAGUGCAGGAUAGGUAAGCUGAAUUCCUAGUGUAGCGGUGAAAUGCGUAGAGAUUAGGAGGAACACCAGUGGCGAAGGCGGCUUACUGGACUGUAACUGACGUUGAGGCUCGAAAGCGUGGGGAGCAAACAGGAUUAGAUACCCGUGUAGUC